rnacentral:rRNA from 1 species
UACGGGGGGGGCAAGCGUUGUUCGGAAUUACUGGGCGUAAAGGGCGCGUAGGCGGCCAGCACAAGUCAGUUGUGAAAUCUCCGGGCUUAACUCGGAAAGGUCAACUGAUACUGUGCGGCUAGAGUGCAGAAGGGGCAACUGGAAUUCUCGGUGUAGCGGUGAAAUGCGUAGAUAUCAGGAGGAACACCGAUGGCGAAGGCAGGUCUCUGGGCUGACACUGACGCUCAUGCACGAAAGCGUGGGGAGCAAACAGG